GGCUCUCCAUUGUAGCUGCUGUCAUAUCCUUCACAUACUCCACUAUUGGGCUAGGCCUUGGUAUUGGAAAAGUUAUUGAAAAUAGAGGAGUCGGGGGAAGCCUAACCGGGAUAACAGUUGGUACCGUGACAUAAACUGAAAAAGUUUGGAGAACCAUGCAAGCUCUUGGUGACAUAGCCUUUGCCUAUUCAUACUCCCUCAUCCUUGUAGAAAUUCAGGACACAGUGAAAUCCCCUCCAUCAGAGU